AGAUGGUAAAUUCCCUUAGCAGCAGGCGGCAGUGCUAAAUUGGCUUCUGCUUUGGCAGCCUAGAGAGCUUGGAAGAAAAGCCGAGUUAAACUGACCUGACAGAAAUAAUCUUCCAAAGAAUAUCCUUUCAAAUUUUUAUCCAUGUUUUAAAGUUGAAUUUAAUAAUUUUAAUUGUUUUAAUAAUUUAACCGAUGGCUUAUCUCAUGAUGCGAUGCUGUCUUCACCCCUCAGCACCCCUUCUGUUUCAAAAUGAGUUCUGGAAGUCUGUGGAAGCCUAAUCUGUCAGCACUCACUAAUCCCCAGGAUCAGCUCUCUCUCGAAGAAACCUUGAGUGAUCUUCAGGGAGAUUAGGCAAUGCGAGGAGCCAGACCCCAGAUACUCACCAUACAUGGUGGUGCGGAUAGCAGAGGCAGAGAUGAGGGCCUACCAUCGUUUCUUGGGGAGCUGCACCAGCCUGGAAUACAGAGCAAAUAAAGCACUUCCAGUAAUCAGCACCUCUCCAAAGCUGGACACGUGCCUGAUGCCUGCUGUGCUGCAGUCUGCAAACCAUCAAUAGAAUUCUGACAGCUGCCUGGUCCUUCCCUGCCAUCAACUAAGAGAUCCACAUGAAGUCUCCUCCUGGGCUGAUGGACAUAAAGACAGUAAAUGUUCAGGGCUCAUGUUCACUGUGCUCUGCCAGUGCUGAGUUCUGGGACCAGGUGCUGAGGUUCCUGUGGAGUGCUCAAAAGCCAUAAGGAACUUUGUGAGAGGGUGGAAGUGUUUCGUUUUUUGAUGUGUAUCAUGUCAUGAUUAUGUUAAUAUUUAGCAAUUGUACACUUAAUGUUUGUGCAGUCUGCUUGUAUUCAACAAAAUUCUGUUAGUGUAAAAAUAAAAGGUACAGAGAGCACUUUUCAUUAUGUAAACUAAGGAAGUUUCAUGUUUCCAUCCCCCCUCCCCUCUGUAUGUGUGUGUAUGUGUAAUGUACACAGAUGUAUUCACCUGUGUGGGAAUAUGGAGAGAGUAAAGGUUGAUAC